UACGAAGGGGGCAAGCGUUGUUCGGAAUUACUGGGCGUAAAGGGCGCGUAGGCGGCCUGAUAAGUAGGGGGUGAAAUCCUGAGGCUUAACCUCAGGGCUGCCUUCUAAACUGUCGGGCUCGAGCACAGUAGAGGCAGGUGGAAUUCCCGGUGUAGCGGUGGAAUGCGUAGAGAUCGGGAAGAACAUCAGUGGCGAAGGCGGCCUGCUGGGCUGUUGCUGACGCUGAGGCGCGACAGCGUGGGGAGCAAACAGG
rnacentral:rRNA from 1 species